rnacentral:rRNA from 1 species
UACGAAGGGGGCUAGCGUUGUUCGGAAUCACUGGGCGUAAAGCGCACGUAGGCGGAUCUUUAAGUCAGGGGUGAAGUCCCGAGGCUCAACCUCGGAACUGCCUUUGAUACUGGGUAUCUCGAGUCCGGAAGAGGUGAGUGGAAUUCCGAGUGUAGAGGUGAAAUUCGUAGAUAUUCGGAGGAACACCAGUGGCGAAGGCGGCUCACUGGUCCGGUACUGACGCUGAGGUGCGAAAGCGUGGGGAGCAAACAGG